rnacentral:rRNA from 1 species
UACGUAGGGUCCGAGCGUUGUCCGGAAUUAUUGGGCGUAAAGGGCUCGUAGGCGGUUCGUCACGUCGGGAGUGAAAACUCGGGGCUUAACUCCGAGCCUGCGUCCGAUACGGGCAGACUAGAGGUAGGCAGGGGAGAGUGGAAUUCCUGGUGUAGCGGUGGAAUGCGCAGAUAUCAGGAGGAACACCGGUGGCGAAGGCGGCUCUCUGGGCCGUUCCUGACGCUGAGGAGCGAAAGCGUGGGUAGCGAACAGG